rnacentral:rRNA from 1 species
ACCUGCAGUCGAGCGGAUGAAGGGAGCUUGCUCCUGGAUUCAGCGGCGGACGGGUGAGUAAUGCCUAGGAAUCUGCCUGGUAGUGGGGGAUAACGUCCGGAAACGGGCGCUAAUACCGCAUACGUCCUGAGGGAGAAAGUGGGGGAUCUUCGGACCUCACGCUAUCAGAUGAGCCUAGGUCGGAUUAGCUAGUUGGUGGGGUAAAGGCCUACCAAGGCGACGAUCCGUAACUGGUCUGAGAGGAUGAUCAGUCACACUGGAACUGAGACACGGUCCAGACUCCUACGGGAGGCAGCAGUGGGGAAUAUUGGACAAUGGGCGAAAGCCUGAUCCAGCCAUGCCGCGUGUGUGAAGAAGGUCUUCGGAUUGUAAAGCACUUUAAGUUGGGAGGAAGGGCAGUAAGUUAAUACCUUGCUGUUUUGACGUUACCAACAGAAUAAGCACCGGCUAACUUCGUGCCAGCAGCCGCGGUAAUACGAAGGGUGCAAGCGUUAAUCGGAAUUACUGGGCGUAAAGCGCGCGUAGGUGGUUCAGCAAGUUGGAUGUGAAAUCCCCGGGCUCAACCUGGGAACUGCAUCCAAAACUACUGAGCUAGAGUACGGUAGAGGGUGGUGGAAUUUCCUGUGUAGCGGUGAAAUGCGUAGAUAUAGGAAGGAACACCAGUGGCGAAGGCGACCACCUGGACUGAUACUGACACUGAGGUGCGAAAGCGUGGGGAGCAAACAGGAUUAGAUACCCUGGUAGUCCACGCCGUAAACGAUGUCGACUAGCCGUUGGGAUCCUUGAGAUCUUAGUGGCGCAGCUAACGCGAUAAGUCGACCGCCUGGGGAGUACGGCCGCAAGGUUAAAACUCAAAUGAAUUGACGGGGGCCCGCACAAGCGGUGGAA